CGGGGGCUCACACAAGCGGUGGAGCAUGUGGAUUAAUUCGAAGCAACGCGCAGAACCUUACCUAGGUUUGACAUGCUUGGAUGCCUUAUUGGAAACAGUGUAGGCUGCCCGCAAGGGUGAAACUUGCACAGGUGCUGCAUGGCUGUCGUCAGCUCGUGUCGUGAGAUGUCGGGUUAAGUCCUUUAACGAGCGAAACCCUUGCCGUUAGUUACCAGCGGGUCAUGCCGGGAACUCUAGCGGGACUGCCGGUGUUAAACCGGAGGAAGGUGGGACGACGUCAAGUCAUCAUGGCCUUUAUGCCUAGGGCCUCACACGUGCUACAAUGGCAGCGACAAAGCGACGCAAUACCGCAAGGUGGAGCAAAUCGCAAAAACGCUGCCCCAGUUCGGAUUGUAGGCUGGCAACUCGCCUACAUGAAGUCGGAAUCGCUAGUAAUCGCGGAUCAGCACGCCGCGGUGAAUACGUUCCCGGGCCUU
rnacentral:rRNA from 1 species